rnacentral:misc_RNA from 1 species
CGCACAUUGCGCCCUUUGGUAUUCCUUAGGGCAUGCCUGUUCGAGCGUCAUUUCAACCCUCAAGCCUAGCUUGGUGUUGGGCGUCUGUCCCGCCUCCGCGCGCCUGGACUCGCCUCAAAAGCAUUGGCGGCCGGUUCCCAGCAGGCCACGAGCGCAGCAGAGCAAGCGCUGAAGUGGCUGCGGGUCGGCGCACCAUGAGCCCCCCCACACCAGAAUUUUGACCUCGGAUCAGGUAGGGAUACCCGCUGAACUUAA